rnacentral:tRNA from 1 species
GCGGGAGUAGUUCAAUGGUAGAACUGUAGCCUUCCAAGCUAUUAGUGCGGGUUCGAUUCCCGUCUCCCGCUCCA